rnacentral:rRNA from 1 species
ACGUACACUCCUGCGGGAGGCAGCAGUGGGGAAUAUUGCACAAUGGGCGCAAGCCUGAUGCAGCCAUGCCGCGUGUAUGAAGAAGGCCUUCGGGUUGUAAAGUACUUUCAGCGGGGAGGAAGGCGAUAAGGUUAAUAACCUUGUCGAUUGACGUUACCCGCAGAAGAAGCACCGGCUAACUCCGUGCCAGCAGCCGCGGUAAUACGGAGGGUGCAAGCGUUAAUCGGAAUUACUGGGCGUAAAGCGCACGCAGGCGGUCUGUCAAGUCGGAUGUGAAAUCCCCGGGCUCAACCUGGGAACUGCAUUCGAAACUGGCAGGCUAGAGUCUUGUAGAGGGGGGUAGAAUUCCAGGUGUAGCGGUGAAAUGCGUAGAGAUCUGGAGGAAUACCGGUGGCGAAGGCGGCCCCCUGGACAAAGACUGACGCUCAGGUGCGAAAGCGUGGGGAGCAAACAGGAUUAGAAACCCGAGUAGUCCCA